rnacentral:rRNA from 1 species
GAACCUGCGGAGGGAUCAUUACCGAGUUGCAAAACUCCCAAAACACCCGCGAACUGUACCUAGCCGUUGCUUCGGCGGGCGGCCCCCGGGGCGGGGCCGCAGCCUCCACGGGCGCCCGCCGGAGGAUCCCAAACCCACUGUAUUCCAGGCCUCUCUGAGCACUAAAAAUGAAUCAAAACUUUCAACAACGGAUCUCUUGGUUCUGGCAUCGAUGAAGAACGCAGCGAAAUGCGAUAAGUAAUGUGAAUUGCAGAACUCAGCGAAUCAUCGAAUUUUUGAACGCACAUUGCGCCCGCCAGUACUCUGGCGGGCAUGCCUGUUCGAGCGUCAUUUCAACCCUCAAGCCCGGCUUGGUGUUGGGGCCCUACGGCCGCCGUAGGCCCCGAAAAUUAGUGGCGGGCUCGCCAGUACCCCGAGCGCAGUAGCUUAAACCCUCGCUCGCGGCGUACCGGCGCGCUCCGGCCGUGAAACCCCCCCAAAAUCACAAGGUUGACCUCGGAUCAGGUAGGAAUACCCGCUGAACUUAAGCAUAUCAAUAAGCGGAGGA